rnacentral:rRNA from 1 species
GACGUAGGGCGCGAGCGUUGUUCGGAAUCACUGGGCGUAAAGGGCGCGUAGGCGGCUUUGUAAGUCGGGGGUGAAAGCCUGUGGCUCAACCACAGAAUUGCCUUCGAUACUGCAUGGCUUGAGACCGGAAGAGGUAAGUGGAACUGCGAGUGUAGAGGUGAAAUUCGUAGAUAUUCGCAAGAACACCAGUGGCGAAGGCGGCUUACUGGUCCGGUUCUGACGCUGAGGCGCGAAAAGCGUGGGGAGCAAACAGG